GAUGAACGCUGGCGGCGUGCCUAAUACAUGCAAGUCGAGCGAACGGACGAGAAGCUUGCUUCUCUGAUGUUAGCGGCGGACGGGUGAGUAACACGUGGAUAACCUACCUAUAAGUCUGGGAUAACUUCGGGAAACCGUAGCUAAUACCGGAUAAUAUUUUGAACCGCAUGGUUCAAAAGUGAAAGACGGUCUUGCUGUCACUUAUAGAUGGAUCCGCGCUGCAUUAGCUAGUUGGUAAGGUAACGGCUUACCAAGGCAACGAUGCAUGGCCGACCUGAGAGGGUAUUCGGCCCCGGUGGAACAGGAACACGGUCCAGACUCCAACGGAGGGCAGCAGUAGGGAAUCUUCCGAAAUGGGCGAAGGCCUGACGGGGCAACGCCGCGUAAUUGAAGAAGGUCUUCGGAUCGUAAAACUCUUUUAUUGGGGAAGAAAAAUUUGUUAAGUAACGGGCCAAAUUUUGGCGGUACCAAAAAAAAAACCCCCCGCAACUCGCG
rnacentral:rRNA from 1 species